rnacentral:rRNA from 1 species
AUUAAACGGCCGCGGUACCCUAACCGUGCAAAGGUAGCGUAAUCAUUUGUCUACUAAUUAUAGACCUGUAUGAAAGGCAAAAUGAGGGUCCAACUGUCUCUUAUAAUAAAUCAAUUAAACUGAUCUCCUAGUAAAAAAGCUAGAAUUCACACAUAAGACCAGAAGACCCUGUGAAGCUUAAACUAAACUAUUAAACCACGUAAUAACUACUUUCGGUUGGGGCGACCUUGGAAAAAAAAAGAACUUCCAAAUACAUGAAUUUACCUCUAACACUACAAAGGCCUACUAGCCACUAAAUGACCCAGCAAAGCUGAUAAAUGAACCAAGUUACUCCAGGGAUAACAGCGCAAUCUUCUUCAAGAGCCCAUAUCAAAAAGAAGGUUUACGACCUCGAUGUUGGAUCAGGACAUCCUAAUGGUGCAGCCGCUAUUAAAGGUUCGUUCGUUCAACGAUUAACAGUCCUACGUGAUCUGAGUC